AAUAGAUACCCAGGUAGUCCACGCCGUAAACGAUGAGUGCUAAGUGUUAGGGGGUUUCCGCCCCUUAGUGCUGCAGCUAACGCAUUAAGCACUCCGCCUGGGGAGUACGGUCGCAAGACUGAAACUCAAAGGAAUUGACGGGGGCCCGCACAAGCGGUGGAGCAUGUGGUUUAAUUCGAAGCAACGCGAAGAACCUUACCAGGUCUUGACAUCCCGCUGACCGUUCUAGAGAUAGAUCUUUCCCUUCGGGGACAGCGGUGACAGGUGGUGCAUGGUUGUCGUCAGCUCGUGUCGUGAGAUGUUGGGUUAAGUCCCGCAACGAGCGCAACCCUUGAUCUUAGUUGCCAGCAUUCAGUUGGGCACUCUAAGGUGACUGCCGGUGAUAAACCGGAGGAAGGUGGGGAUGACGUCAAAUCAUCAUGCCCCUUAUGACCUGGGCUACACACGUGCUACAAUGGGCGGUACAGAGGGUCGCAACCCCGCGAGGGUGAGCUAAUCCCAUAAAACCGUUCUCAGUUCGGAUUGUAGGCUGCAACUCG
rnacentral:rRNA from 1 species